rnacentral:rRNA from 1 species
GUCCACGCCGUAAACGAUGGAUACUAGCUGUUGGAAGCAAUUUCAGUGGCUAAGCGAAAGUGAUAAGUAUCCCACCUGGGGAGUACGUUCGCAAGAAUGAAACUCAAAGGAAUUGACGGGGGCCCGCACAAGCGGUGGAGCAUGUGGUUUAAUUCGAUGAUACGCGAGGAACCUUACCAAGGCUUAAAUGUAGAUUGACCGGUUUGGAAACAGAUCUUUCGCAAGACAAUUUACAAGGUGCUGCAUGGUUGUCGU